rnacentral:rRNA from 1 species
ACGUGGCAAACGGCUCAGUAACACGUAGUCAACAUGCCCAGGGGACGUGGAUAACCUCGGGAAACUGAGGAUAAACCGCGAUAGGCCAUGAUUUCUGGAAUGGUUCAUGGCUGAAAUCUAUAUGGCCCCUGGAUUGGACUGCGGCCGAUCAGGCUGUUGGUGAGGUAAUGGCCCACCAAACCUGUAACCGGUACGGGCUCUGAGAGGAGGAGCCCGGAGAUGGGCACUGAGACAAGGGCCCAGGCCCUAUGGGGCGCAGCAGGCGCGAAAUCUCUGCAAUAGGCGAAAGCUUGACAGGGUUACUCUGAGUGGUUCCCGCUAAGGGGAUCUUUUGGCACCUUUAAAAAUGGUGCAGAAUAAGGGGUGGGCAAGUCUGGUGUCAGCCGCCGCGGUAAUACCAGCACCCCGAGUGGUCGGGACGAUUAUUGGGCCUAAAGCAUCCGUAGCCGGUACUGCAAGUCUUCCGUUAAAUCCACCUGCUUAACAGUUGGGCUGCGGGGGAUACUACAGCGCUAGGAGGCGGGAGAGGCAAGCGGUACUCAAUGGGUAGGGGUAAAAUCCGCUGAUCCAUUGAAGACCACCAGUGGCGAAGGCGGCUUGCCAGAACGCGCUCGACGGUGAGGGAUGAAAGCUGGGGGAGCAAACCGGAUUAGAUACCCGGGUAGUCCCAGCUGUAAACGAUGCAGACUCGGUGAUGGGCUGGCCUUGUGCCAGCCCAGUGCCGCAGGGAAGCCGUUAAGUCUGCCGCCUGGGGAGUACGGUCGCAAGACUGAAACUUAAAGGAAUUGGCGGGGGAGCACCACAAGGGGUGAAGCCUGCGGUUCAAUUGGAUUCAACGCCGGG